GGUCUCAACUCAAAAUUUAAAAUAAGUACUUAAUAGAGAUCGGAAGAGAGUUCUUAUCCGAUCUCAACUCAAAAUUUUAAUAAAUAUUAAAGAGUUCGGAGAAGAGUUCUUAUCCAAUUCUUAAAUUAAAUUUCGAUAAAAUAUUCCUUUCAAAUAAAAUUAACAUACAACAGUAACUCACUAAGGUUGUCUCAUUUACUUAUGUAUCUGGGUAAUUCAAAUUUAGUGAAAAUCAAAUGUUCCUUUUGACAAAAGGAUUAACAUGUCCAUUCA
rnacentral:misc_RNA from 1 species